CCCCAAAUAAACUUGAGGCGAACUAGGGGUCGAGUAUACUAGCAGAGGAACCGUGCGAUCUCACAAUAUCUUUUGGUGAAACCUUUUCCUUACCUCACCGUGCUCUGAAUGCAAGGUUGAAGGAAAACAUGUUCGUGGGGUAUGAAAAGAAGUCAGAAAGCAUGAAAGAACUCCUAGUAUCGUUUUCAUCGGUUGUAUAAAACCAUAUCAACACUACAUGAAUGAUUGCGUCUUAGCCAGCCAUUUUAGAAAGCCCACAGUGAACACCGCCUUCAAAUGGACGCUUAUCAACCUCUAGAGAGUGGCGAUGACGAAGAGUAAAGCUUGCAUACAGUAGCUGUUGAACAAGUU